GAUGAACGCUAGCGGCAGGCUUAAUACAUGCAAGUCGUGGGGCAGCAUGAGUAGCAAUACUUGAUGGCGACCGGCAAACGGGUGAGGAACACGUACACAACCUUCCUUCAAGCGGGGAAUAGCCCAGAGAAAUUUGGAUUAAUACCCCAUAAUAUAUUUGAUAAGGCAUCUUAUUAAUAUUAAAGCUUCGGCACUUGAUGAUGGGUGUGCGGCUGAUUAGAUAGUUGGCGGGUAACGGCCCACCAAGUCUACGAUCAGUAGCUGAUGUGAGAGCAUGAUCAGCCACACGGGCACUGAGACACGGGCCCGACUCCUACGGGAGGCAGCAGUAAGGAUAUUGGACAAUGGACGAAAGUCUGAUCCAGCCAUGCCGCGUGAAGGAUUAAGGUCCUCUGGAUUGUAAACUUCUUUUAUAUGGGACGAAAAAAGGGCAUUCUUGUUCACUUGACGGUACCAUAUGAAUAAGCACCGGCUAACUCCGUGCCAG
rnacentral:rRNA from 1 species